GGAAAAGGUCUGAUUCCGAAAAACAUACAUAUUCAAACACGGCGGCUAUGCGGAACAUUGGAAACCAAAAUGACGAAACAAACUACGAGGAUCUGAGAUCUUAACUCGAACAUCACGUGUAUGCAAUUAUACUUCGAAGAUCUUCAAUUGUGCGCGUUUACGAAAAACAUUGAUCGUCUGUAGAUAUCAUUCUAAUCCACGUUUUAAAACCGUAUGCUCAUGUUUUUUUUAAAAACCUCUUCACCAACAAGAUUGUAUUGUAUUCUUCACAAACAAAAAUAAAAAUAUGGAAGAGAACAAAAUCAAAAGUGAAAAGAACGGAAGAGAAUGGGAAACAGAAGAAAUAAAAGAGAACAAAUUCAAAAGCGAAAUGAAGAAAUAAAAUAAGUAUCCAGGAUGCUGUAUAUAUUUGUUUUUAAGGAUAUGAAAUACUGAAGGACACACUUCUAUAUUGAUCCUAGGAAAUCAAGAUACUGAACAAACGUCUGUGUUUAUUGUGUCCUGUUUGAAUUACAUUCCCAGGCGAUGAAAACGAUGAUUAAACGUACAUUCUAAAGUACAGCAAGUGACAAGUUCCACUAUUUGUACACGUAUUUAUAAUUAUUAACUACAAAUUAAUCAGUCGGACGUGUUGGUUGCACAAUUAAAUCAAUAGUCAAAAGUG